rnacentral:rRNA from 1 species
UACGGGGGGAGCAAGCGUUGUUCGGAUUUACUGGGCGUAAAGGGUGCGCAGGCGGUUCUGCAAGUCAGGCGUGAAAUCCCCGGGCUUAACCUGGGAAUGGCGCUUGAAACUACGGGACUGGAGUAUGGCAGAGGGAGGUGGAAUUCCACGUGUAGCGGUGAAAUGCGUAGAUAUCAGGAGGAAUACCGAUGGCGAAGGCAGGUCUCUGGGCUAACACUGACGCUCAUGCACGAAAGCGUGGGGAGCAAACAGG